UGCCAGCCGCCGCGGUAAUACGAAGGGUGCAAGCGUUGUUCGGAAUUACUGGGCGUAAAGCGCGCGUAGGCGGCUAUUUAAGUCAGGCGUGAAAGCCCUCGGCUCAACCGAGGAAUUGCGUUUGAUACUACUUUGCUAGAGUCUCGGAGAGGUUGGCGGAAUUCCAGGUGUAAGAGUGAAAUCCGUAGAUAUCUGGAGGAACACCAGUGGCGAAGGCGGCCAACUGGACGAGUACUGACACUGAGGUACGAAAGCGUGGGUAGCAAACAGGAUUAGAUA
rnacentral:rRNA from 1 species